ACAGAGGUCCCGAGCGUUGUUCGGAUUCACUGGGCGUAAAGGGUGCGCAGGUGGGUUUGCAAGUUUGAUGUGAAAGCCCCGGGCUUAACCCGGGAAUGGCAUUGAAUACUGCAGAUCUGGAGGAUUGGAGGGGGGACUGGAAUUCUUGGUGUAGCAGUGAAAUGCGUAGAUAUGCGGAGGAACACCGAUGGCGAAGGCAAUCCCCUGGGCCUGCACUGACGCUCAUGCACGAAAGCGUGGGGAGCAAACAGGA
rnacentral:rRNA from 1 species